rnacentral:rRNA from 1 species
UGGGGAAUUUUGGACAAUGGGCGAAAGCCUGAUCCAGCAAUGCCGCGUGUGUGAAGAAGGCCUUCGGGUUGUAAAGCACUUUUGUCCGGAAAGAAAUCCUUGGCUCUAAUACAGUCGGGGGAUGACGGUACCGGAAGAAUAAGCACCGGCUAACUACGUGCCAGCAGCCGCGGUAAUACGUAGGGUGCAAGCGUUAAUCGGAAUUACUGGGCGUAAAGCGUGCGCAGGCGGUUUGCUAAGACCGAUGUGAAAUCCCCGGGCUCAACCUGGGAACUGCAUUGGUGACUGGCAGGCUAGAGUAUGGCAGAGGGGGGUAGAAUUCCACGUGUAGCAGUGAAAUGCGUAGAGAUGUGGAGGAAUACCGAUGGCGAAGGCAGCCCCCUGGCAAGUACUGACGCUCAUGCACGAAAAGCGUGGGGAGCAAAACNGGAUUAAUACCCUGGUAGUCCACGCCCUAAAANGAUGUCAACUAGUUGUUGGGGGAUUCAUUUCCUUAGUAACGUAGCUAACGCGUGAAGUUGACCGCCUGGGGGAGUACGGUCGC